CGACGGGCAUCCGCCCGCUCGGAUACUGACCCCGGUACCUGAUACGGCCGGGGCAG
rnacentral:ncRNA from 1 species